rnacentral:rRNA from 1 species
ACGAACCGUGCGAACGUUGUUCGGAAUCACUGGGCUUAAAGGGCGCGUAGGCGGGCUGUCAAGUCUGGGGUGAAAUGCCGCGGCUCAACCGUGGAACUGCCUUAGAUACUGACGGCCUCGAGGAAGGUAGGGGCAUGCGGAACUGUAGGUGGAGCGGUGAAAUGCGUUGAUAUCUACAGGAACUCCGGUGGCGAAAGCGGCGUGCUGGACCUUUUCUGACGCUGAGGCGCGAAAGCUAGGGGAGCAAACGGGA